AAACCAUUUUACGGUCAUACAUCAUUCAUAGCCGUAAAAGCCAUUUGCCCUCUGUCACCCAACCAAUCAGGAUUCAGCCAAGGGGAAGCUGAGCAGUAGCCCGGCAGUUUUCUUUGGGCUCCUCUGCGUUUCCGCAACCUGGUUCAGCAGAAUGUCACAGAAAAUUAACUCCCCUGGGUUAUCAAGGACCCCUCCUCACUAAGGAGCAAUAUAGGAUUUCAGGCUAAUAUUUACCCCUCCCCAAGCAACACCUUGUGAUGUGCCAGAAGAGGCAGAAGCGCAGCAGGCAUCACACACAAGCCCUGGGUAACACCUGCUGCUUUGAACUGUUGGAAUGAAAGGCCGAGGAGGGGACGCUGCCAGUCCACGUCUCGGCGAUUCACUCCCGCUGCCCGCUUGGAGCAGACUUGAAAUUGAUGUCAGCGUCUAAGCCACCCAGCUGAUCCCAGAACCUCAAAAUUCCUCCAACGUUAUCAUGCAGAGCAAUUUACCUCUGUCUUGGACUACAUCUAAACGCCAUCAAAAUGGUCUAAGUAUUUGCUAAGAUGAAGGCAGUUCUCUCCCCUAAGAGGAAUUCUGCCACAGCUCACCUAAGGGUACCCUCCAUGACCAGUUGUGUUUCAGAGAAGGCAGAUCUAGUCCAUUCAAGGCCAGGAUCCCCCGGAGUGAAAAUGGAUUGAAUGGGAAAACGAAAUAGGCAUGAAGCAGCCAGCCCCAAGGUCUCUGUUUGGCUCAUGACUGCUUAUUUGCAUGGUGUUUUGGUGUCAAAGGAGUGUUGAAUGUCUUCUCCACAUACCCAGCUUUAUUCCACUCUAGGAGUUUAACUUCUUCAACAUUGUUAUGAGGUCCCCGGUGACCUCAGUUUCUCCUCUCCGCGUCAUCCAGGACUUCAUCUGAAGCUUGAGCUACAUGUAAGACUUCAUCUACCUUGCACAGGGCAAUGGAGAGAGAUAGAAAAGCUGAGUCUUGGGGAAGAUAAAUUGUGGCUCCAAGGCUACCCAGCCAAGAUGAGCAAGACUGAAACACAGACCCACAUGACACUGCAGUCCCACUCUGGGUGUCAGAAGA
rnacentral:lncRNA from 1 species